CAACGCGGGGAGGUAGUGACAAGAAAUAACAACAACUAACCUAUUUCAGGUGAGUUGAUUGGAAUGAGUACAAUCUAAACACCUUAACGACUAUCCAUUGGAGGGCAAGCCUGGUGCCAGCAGCCGCGGUAAUUCCAGCUCCAAUAGCGUAUACUAAUGUUGUUGCAGUUAAAAAGCUCGUAGUCGGAUUUCAGUAGGCUCAGUUAAGUCUCUUCUAUUGAGUUCUUUAUGGGCCUGCUUCUUUGACAGAAACUUCUAUGUUAUUCAUUUAGCGUGGGUAGCGACUGUCUCUUUUACUUUGAGAAAAUUAGAGUGUUCAAAGCAGGUAUUCGCCUGAAUAUUACUCUUGGAAUAAUGCUAUAAGACUUUGGUUCUAAUGUAUUGGUGAUUGGGACCAGAGUAAUGAUUGAUAGGGACGGUUGGGGUCUUACGUACUGCAAAGCGAGAGGUGAAAUUCUUGGACCUUUGUAUGACGAACAACUGCGAAAGCAUUGGACUAGGACGUUCCCGUUGAUCAAGAACGAAAGUUGGGGGAUCGAAGACGAUCAGAUACCGUCGUAGUCUCAACCAUAAACUAUGCCAGCUAGGGAUCGGAGGACGUUACAUGUUCGACUCCUUCGGCACCUUAUGAGAAAUCAAAGCAUUUGGGUUCCGGGGGGAGUAUGGUCGCAAGGCUGAAACUUAAAGGAAUUGACGGGAGGGCACCACCAGGAGUGGAGCCUG
rnacentral:rRNA from 1 species